GACGAACGCUGGCGGCGUGCUUAACACAUGCAAGUCGAGCGGUAAGGCCCUUUCGGGGGUACACGAGCGGCGAACGGGUGAGUAACACGUGGGUGACCUGCCCUUAGCUCUGGGAUAAGCCUGGGAAACUGGGUCUAAUACCGGAUAUGACUCCAUGACGCAUGUUGUGGGGUGGAAAGCCUUGUGCGGCUAGGGAUGGGCCCGCGGCCUAUCAGCUUGUUGGUGGGGUGAUGGCCUACCAAGGCGACGACGGGUAGCCGGCCUGAGAGGGCGACCGGCCACACUGGGACUGAGACACGGCCCAGACUCCUACGGGAGGCAGCAGUGGGGAAUCUUGCGCAAUGGGCGAAAGCCUGACGCAGCGACGCCGCGUGAGGGAUGACGGCCUCG
rnacentral:rRNA from 1 species